AGAGCCUAAACUGUCAACGAAACAGAACAGUGCGAAUUGUCAAUAGUUAAAUAAAGGACGGAAAUUCAAUGGUAUUUUAGCAGGCGGCAAAUCAAAACGAAGAUUUGUGGUCCGUCUGCUACGACUUCUCUCUCUCCCUCCCGAUCUGAUUUGUCCUAGAAAACAACUCUUUUCAACCCUUUCGAUUACACGCGGAACAUUCAAAGAUUUGAAUCGAUGAAUUGGGUACAACGCAAGAUCUAUCUCUACAACGUCACCUUCGGGCUGUACAUGUUAGACUGGUGGGAGCGUUGUCUCUUCAACAUUCUGGUGGUUGUAUUGAUGUGGUUCAUCUGCUACAACGGGGUUCGGUCUGCCAACGAGUUAUGCAAAAGGAUUUUAUGGUGACUCCAAGAGCCUUCAAAGCCACCUGAACUUGGAAUCUUUGUGGGUAACUGUAGCUUAAUUGUACUGCACCAAUUAUGAUCUAUCAUGCCUUUCAAUUUUUAUUUUGUCAUCUGUAAUGUAAACCUACAAAAACUUCUCACUAUCUUGUAAAAGUUUUGUUUAUUCCCUCUUUUUUCUUAAAGAGUUAGAGCUAUUUAUUCA